AUUGAACGCUGGCGGCAGGCCUAACACAUGCAAGUCGAACGAGUGGCGGACGGGUGAGUAAUGUCUGGGAAACUGCCCGAUGGAGGGGGAUAACUACUGGAAACGGUAGCUAAUACCGCAUACCAUCGGAUGUGCCCAGAUGGGAUUAGCUAGUCGGUGGGGUAACGGCUCACCUAGGCGACGAUCCCUAGCUGGUCUGAGAGGAUGACCAGCCACACUGGAACUGAGACCUGGUCCAGACUCCGACGGGAGGCAGCAGUGGUGAAUAGGGCAUAAUGGGCGCAAGCCUGAUGCAGCCAUGCCGCGUUUAUGAAGAAGUCCUUCGGGUUGUAAAGUACUUUCAGCGAGGAGGCGUUACUCGCAGAAGAAGCACCGGCUAACUCCGUGCCAGCAGCCGCGGUAAUAC
rnacentral:rRNA from 1 species